CCCAGGCAGGCCUCACUGCUGUCUCCAGACCCAAACCCUCGUUUUAUCUUCCGUGGCAGAGUAUGCUUCUGGCCCCGGUGGAAUGGACUUGGUAGGUUUGCAGAACUGACAAUUCAAGGAUACAAAGACAAGAAGGAAAAUGACAGAAUUGCUGCUGACAUCGCUAGUAUCCUUCAGAUUCUCAUAAACACAAAAUUCAAAUGCCACAGUAGGGGACAAGAGUAAGACACUCCUGGAAUUCUGGGCCAGCUGACCCUGUGAAGGCUAACCUGGGGACGUUUCCACUCGCUAUCACAUUCUGAGGACUUGUACAGGACGCCUGCUGGGGAGAUAAGGCUGUUUACUGCCAGUUUGGAUUUUAUUCUGAGACAAAGGGAAGCACUUCAGUGGAAUGACCUGGUGGGAGCUGCUUUAUGGGUAGACCAUUCUGGCUGCUGGAGAGUGGAAUCAGCGUGGAGUAUCUAAAGCAAGAAGACGAAUUGGGAGACUGUAUCAGAGCAACACUGAGGGCCUUGCAAGGCAGUGGCAGGUGGAGGUGGGGAUUUAGGGAUUGCAUUGGGAGGACGCAUCUGGGAUGACGAGGUACACUCACAGGGAUGUGGGACCGGCAGGUGUUGGAGAUGGCACCCUGGGAGUCCCUUUCUCCUUUGCCAAAUGAUCUCUCUCAAAGAUAUUUUUCCACAUCCUGCAGAAAGGAAUAAAAUGUUCAUCCCAAGUGUUGCCAGUGUGAAGACACAUGCAAAAAAGAGGAGAGAACAUAGGAAAUAGACAUGACAGAGGUGUUAGCGAGUGCUCAGGUGGUAAUCAUAUUGCAACAUAUAAGUAUAUCAAAUCAACAUGUUGCACACCUUAAACUUACAUGGUGUUACAAUAUCUGAAUAAAAAUAGACUUUAAAAAAAAUGUACUGAUGGUUAGGCCAACAUUAUGACUGUUCACUGAUUCCCGAAGGACUCAUUGGCUUAACUCAAGUGCUCAUUGUUCCAAGACUGGACAUGCUUGUGCUAACAUGGGGUAUAGUGUUUGUGCAGUGUGCUUUUACUUUCAAAAUAUUUUAAUUUUAAUUCUCCCUUUUACUCCUCCACAAUAACUUUAUUCUUUCCACCGGGUCAACUGUUUUGGACCAUAUUAAAACCAUUUUCUAAAUGGUUGUGCCAUGGUUUGAGUUUCCCAAAAUACUACCUCUUCUGCAGAUCCGACCAAGUUUCUUUAUUAUACUUAGUAAUACUACAUAAAGUGCAUAAAAUGCACUAAUCUUAAGUAUAUAGUUUGAAUUUUUAUGUAUAUGUAUGUAUGGAUAACCGCCAUUGAGAUAAAACUAGAUAAAACUAUAGGAUUAUUUUCCUAUACCCCAUGAGAUUCUCUUAAUGUGCUUCUCCUUCUAGUCCCUGAAGCAUUAAUUGCUAUUUUGAUUUUCAUAAACAUCUUUAUUUUUACUUGCUCUUAAACCUUAUAUAAAUGGAAUAUAUAUUACAACUUUUUUGUGUCGGGCUUUCAUGCAACAUAAUACCUGACAUUUCUCCAUCUUGUUGCUGGAGCCAAUUAUUUUUUUUAAUUGAUGGGUAGUAUUCCAUUAUAUAAAUGUGUCACAGUUUAUUUGUUGAUAAACAUGUGGGUUGUUUCAUCUUGUGGAUAUUAUGAAUAAAACUGCUAUGAAUGUAAUG